CCUACGGGUGGCAGCAGUGGGGAAUAUUGGACAAUGGGGGGAACCCUGAUCCAGCGACGCCGCGUGAGUGAAGAAGUAUUUCGGUAUGUAAAGCUCUAUCAGCAGGGAAGAAAGAAAUGACGGUACCUGACUAAGAAGCCCCGGCUAACUACGUGCCAGCAGCCGCGGGAAUACGUAGGGGGCAAGCGUUAUCCGGAUUUACUGGGUGUAAAGGGAGCGUAGACGGCGAUGCAAGUCUGAAGUGAAAGGCGGGGGCCCAACCCCCGGACUGCUUUGGAAACUGGAUGGCUGGAGUGCAGGGGAGGUAAGUGGAAUGCCUAGUGUAGCGGUGAAAUGCGUAGAUAUUAGGAGGAACACCAGUGGCGAAGGCGGCUUACUGGACUGUAACUGACGUUGAGGCUCGAAAGCGUGGGGAGCAAACAGGAUUAGAUACCCUGGUAGUC
rnacentral:rRNA from 1 species